rnacentral:sRNA from 1 species
UUAGCCCCAUCGCAACAGGGCAAGUGCAGGAGGCCAGUCAUGUUUUUCGACAAUGUGGUGAUCGCCGGAGUGCUGACAGUCGGCCUCAUGGUUCUGUUUUUUACCGGGUUUGGAUUUUUUAUCUGGAAAGACGCACAUAAGCGCAAAAAGCCUUAGGUCUUUCUGGACGCACGAGCACGCAAGGCAUUUUGGGCGACUUCGGUCGCCCUUUUUUUUG